AACCAUCGAGUCUUUGAACGCAAGUUGCGCCCGAGGCCAACAGGCCAAGGGCACGUCUGCCUGGGCGUCAAGU
rnacentral:rRNA from 1 species